AGCCCGUUAGCUCUGACAGUUGAGUGUAGUGCUAACAACACUGAGGUCGCGGGUUCGAUUCCCGUUCGGUCCC
rnacentral:tRNA from 1 species